rnacentral:rRNA from 1 species
AUUGAACGCUGGCGGCAGGCUUAACACAUGCAAGUCGAGCGGAGAGAAGGAGCUUGCUACUGAUCUUAGCGGCGGACGGGUGAGUAAUGCUCCGGAAUCUGCCUAUUAGUGGGGGACAACAUUUCGAAAGGAAUGCUAAUACCGCAUACGUCCUACGGGAGAAAGCAGGGGAUCUUCGGACCUUGCGCUAAUAGAUGAGCCUAAGUCGGAUUAGCUAGUUGGUGGGGUAAAGGCCUACCAAGGCGACGAUCUGUAGCGGGUCUGAGAGGAUGAUCCGCCACACUGGGACUGAGACACGGCCCAGACUCCUACGGGAGGCAGCAGUGGGGAAUAUUGGACAAUGGGCGGAAGCCUGAUCCAGCCAUGCCGCGUGUGUGAAGAAGGCCUUAUGGUUGUAAAGCACUUUAAGCGAGGAGGAGGCUACUUUAGUUAAUACCUAGAGAUAGUGGACGUUACUCGCAGAAUAAGCACCGGCUAACUCUGUGCCAGCCGCCGCCGUAACAC